rnacentral:lncRNA from 1 species
GAUCCCUAAGUCUUACGGCCAAAGGGGCUGUGCAAAGGAACUUGGGAUCAAUUUUAAGGCUUUUAACAUUUCUCUGCCUCUGAUUAUUAGUUCAAACAUGCAUCAUAGGGAAUCAGAUUGGCGGGAAGGGGCAAUAGACAUCCCCCCACAGUUUAGGACCGUGAGAAGUUGAAUUGGAGGCAGGGGAAAAACUGUGGCCUUAUUAAAGGUGUUGUUUAAUAUUCCAAGUUUGGGAUCUGUGUCAAGUAGCCUCCAGUUA